GUAGUUGUGGCCGAGUGGUUAAGGCGAUGGACUUGAAAUCCAUAGGGGUUUCCCGCCCAGGUUCAAAUCCUGACAGCUACG